CCUACGGGUGGCAGCAGUGAGGAAUAUUGGUCAAUGGGCGGAAGCCUGAACCGGCCAAGUAGCGUGCAGGAUGACGGCCCUACGGGUUGUAAACUGCUUUUAUACGGGAAUAACGCGCCUUACGUGUAGGGCUUUGCAUGUACCGUAUGAAUAAGGACCGGCUAAUUCCGGGCCAGCGUCCGCGGUAAUACGGAAGGUCCGGGCGUUAUCCGGCUUUCUUGGGUGUAAGGGGAGUGUAGGCCGCAUGUUAAGCUUGCUGUGAAAUGUCCGGGUUCAACCCGGGCCUUGCAGCGCGAACUGGCGUGCUUGAGUCCGCGGAAAGCAGGCGGAAUUCGUCGUGUAGCGGUGAAAUGCUUAGAUAUGACGAAGAACCCCGAUUGCGAAGGCAGCUUGCUGCAGCGGAACUGACGCUGAUGCUCGAAAGCGCGGGUAUCGAACAGGAUUAGAUACCCGUGUAGUC
rnacentral:rRNA from 1 species